rnacentral:rRNA from 1 species
GAUGAACGCUAGCGGCAGGCUUAAUACAUGCAAGUCGAGGGGCAGCACGGUUAGCAAUAACUGGUGGUGACCGGCGCACGGGUGCGUAACACGUAUACAAUCUACCUUAAACAGGGGGAUAGCCUUUCGAAAGAGAGAUUAAUACCCCGUAAUAAAUUGAACGGCAUCGUUUGAUUUUGAAAGCUCCGGCGGUUUGAGAUGAGUAUGCGUCUGAUUAGCUAGUUGGUGAGGUAACGGCUCACCAAGGCGACGAUCAGUAGGGGAUCUGAGAGGACUAACCCCCCACACUGGUACUGAGACACGGACCAGACUCCUACGGGAGGCAGCAGUAAGGAAUAUUGGUCAAUGGAGGCAACUCUGAACCAGCCAUGCCGCGUGCAGGAUGACGGCCCUAUGGGUUGUAAACUGCUUUUAUACAAGAGAAAACCCUGGUACGUGUACCAGGUUGAUAGUAUUGUAAGAAUAAGCAUCGGCUAACUUCGUGCCAGCAGCC